CUGUUUGCUAACAAGUUCAACAUCAACUCAAAAGCUUAUAUUUUUGUGUUGUUUGAGACAUUUCCAAGUCAUGCCACACUAGAAGGAAACUGUGGUGGGAAGGAACAGUGGGAGAAGUGUUCCGGCAUUGGAGUGGAAAAAGGGAUCCUAGCAUGUGAGCAUUGGUGGUCCAGUGGUAGAAUUCUCGCCUGCCACGCGGGAGGCCGGGGUUCGAUUCGUGGCCAAUGCAGCAAGGGUUCUGUGGCUUAAGGCACUCUGUAGACAGCGCAAUGGGAAAGGGAAUGAAGAGGAAAUAAUGAAACAAUUACUGUCGCAGGUUAUGCGAAAUAAAAACUGGUUUGUAAUAUGUGUUGGUGUACCAUAUUGGAAGGCAAAAGUGUCUGCAGUUCUGAACCACCACACUUGUAGCCAGGGUGAAAAGCUGGCCAUCAUAGAGAGGGUAGAGACUUGAAUAUGGGUGUAAUGACACACUUUCACAGUGUCUCCCAUCAGGUAUCAUAACGUUGCACUCGAUUGUAAACAUGGAAAGUGGCAGAAGUAGAGUUUGAGUGAGAAGUCUGCAGUUCUGAUGUUGGAAAGUUGUUGGGGUAGGGGUUUCUGUAGCUGUUAGAGGAGUACUUCUCAUGACGUAUACUGCUGCCCUAAAUGUCCAACCAGAGCUGAGUAUAUAAAUUAUAUGCUUUACACUAAACACACCCACAAGCUUCAGGCUUGUGAGAGGCAAGACAGAACCUGCUAUUUUAAGUCUGUGUGUAUUUGGGGCCGUACUGUGACAACUUCCAGGAGAGACACUUUGGUAGAUGGUGAAAUUUGUGAGACAAUCCCAUUUGCAUGAGCCUGAAAACUCAGCAGUUUCAGUUUGCUGCAGGCGCAGUUUGAGGAGUUGUACUGUGAAAACUUGUCAUCAUUGGAAUCUAUUAAAACAACAUAAUUUCAAGCUGAACAGAGCUGCAGUUUUGGGGUAUUGGUUGUUAUGGUUUGUGGUAAGUGCUGACUGAUUUUGACCUUUGUGAGGGAGUUCCACUGGGAGGCUUCUGGUGGUCUUUGUCUGUCAGUUUCAGUGAACUGAGUUUGUUUUAUGGGGAUUCACUGUAGGUUUUUUUUUUGUUAAAAGAGGUUUGGAAGAUCCAUAAAAGGUUAAAUAAACCAGAGCCCCACCAGCCAGUAAAGCUCUCUUGCAAGAGACAGAACAUACAAGAUUUUACAGAGAGCACCAAAACAAGUGCAUGAAACUCCACGUACACCAAACUAUUCGCAGUUACUACCAAGAGAGAAAUAUCAGAGUAAGCUGGAGUUUUUGAGACAUUUCCAAGUCAUACCACACUAGAAGGAAACUGUGGCAGAAAGGAACAAAGUUAAAAACUUUCCAAUGCCACAGCGGGAAAAGAAGUUUAAGUAUAUGAGCAUUGGUGGUUCAGUGGUAGAAUUCUCGCCUGCCACGCGGGAGGCCCGGGUUCGAUUCCCGGCCAAUGCAACAGGCGUUUUGAGGCUUAGGGCAAUCUGUAGGUGACACAAAGAGAAAUGCAAUGAAGAGAAAAUGGUAAAACAAGAAGUGCAUGCAUCAUGUCCUGGAUUAUGCGAAAUAAGAAUUGAUUCGUAAGAUUUGUUGUCAGACCAUGUUGGCGAAAGUGUCUACAGUUCUGAACCACCACACUCGUAGCCAGGGUGAAAAGCUGGCCAUCAUAGAGAGGGGAGAGACUUGAAUAUGGUUAGAAUGACACACUUUCACAGUGUCUCCCAUAAGGUAUCAUAAUAUUGCACUCGGUUGUAAACAUAAAAAGUAGCAGAAGUAGAGUCUGAGUGAGAAGUCUGCAGUUCUGAUGUCGGAAAGUUGUUGGGGUAGGGGUUUCUGUAGCUGUUAGAGGAGUACUUCUGAUGACAUAUACUGGUGCCCUAAAUGUCCAACCAGAACUGAGUAUAUAAAUUAUAUGCUUUACACUAAACACACCCACAAGCUUCAGGCUUCUGAGAGGCAAGACAGAACCUGCUAUUUUGAGUCUGUGUGUAUUUGGGCCCGUAGUGUGACAACUUCCAGGAGAGACACUUUGGUAGAUGGUGAAAUUUGUGAGACAAUCCCAUUUGCAUGAGCCUGAAAACUCAGCAAUUUCGGUUUGCUGCAGGCGCAGUUUGAGAAUUUGCGCUGUGAAAACUUGUCAUCAUUGGAAUCUAUUAAAACAACAUAAAUUCAAGCUGAACAGAGCUGCAGUUUUGGGGUAUUGGUUGUUAUGGGUUGUGGUAAGUGCUGACUGACGAACAGAUAAACAGUUAGCAACUAGCUGGUGAUCAUAGUGGAGUGUUUAAAAGCUAAAUAUAUUUCACUUCAGCAUUCGGUAAAGAUCAAUCAACACUAAAAGAGAGUGAAUAUUGGACUUAGGUCCAUCAUGGGCCAGAAACACGACUCCCAAUGUUUGACAAUGUUGCUCCAUAACUGCUGGAUGUGGAAAUAAGCAACUGUUUGCUAACAAGUUCAACAUCAACUUAAAGGCUUAUGAUAGGUUUGUGUUGUGCUCACAACUUGUUUCCGCUGCCCCCAUGUGGCCAAAAAAAAAAUCAUGGAGGUUUAAAUAAUGUGGGAAAUGUCAAUUGUAGAAGGACGCAAUGGGAAAUGGAUUUGCGGGGAAAACAAAAGCAUAUGGCCCUAAAAAAUCAUUCAUUUUGAACUUCAAGUGAGCCUCGCAGUAGGCAGGGCGUCAGUCUCAUAAUCUGAAGGUCGUGAGUUCGAGCCUCACAUGGGGCAUGUGUUUUGAUACAUGUAUGGUUUCAACUGAAAUCAUGUAUUAUCAGAUACACAGGUCCUUCCUUGGUUCACUCUUACCAUUCUCAUAGUGUCACUUUGAGCCAGAGCAGGCAGCUCUGCAGCAAAUAGCCAAAGAAUUAACAGCUAACUGGUGAACACAGUGGAGUCUUUAGAAGCUAAAUAUAUUUCCCUUCAAGAGUCGAUAAAGAUCAAGAACAGAGCUAAAAGAGAGUGAAUAUUGGACUUACAUUCAUCAGGGGGCUAGAAACACGACUGCCAUGUGGAAAUAAGCAAUUUUUUGUUUAAUGUAUCAACUUAAAAGGUUAUGAUAGGUGUGUGUUUUGUUCACAACUUGUUUCCGCUGCCUCCAGGUGGCCAUAAAAACAGUUCAUGGAGGUUUAAAUAAUGUGGGAAAUGCUGAUUGUAGAAGGACGCAAUGGGAAAUGGAUUUGCGGGGAAAACAAAAGCAUAUGGCCCUGAAAAAUCAUCCAUUUUAAUCAUCAAGUGAGCCUCGUUGGCGCAGUAGGCAGCGCGUCAGUCUCAUAAUCUGAAGGUUGUGAGUUCGAGCCUCACACGGGGCAUGUGUUUUGAUACAUGUGUGCUCACAACUUGUUUCUGCUGCCCUGAAGUGGCCAAAAAAAAAGCAGCUCAUGGAGGUUUAAAUAAUGUGGGAGAUGCUGUAGAAAGACACAAUGGGAAAUGGGUUUGAAGGUAAACAGAAGCAUAUGGCCCUGAACACCCAUCCAUUUUGAACACCCUGAGGGCCUUGUUGGCAGUACCCGACAGCCGCUAGUCUAUACAGAUAUGGCUAAUCAAAUCACGAAUUCCAUCAUUUGACAACUAAUCAUGGUUCGUGGUCCAUCUUUCUAAACGCCUCGCAAAUGGCAAGAUCCAACUUUGAUAGGACAAUCAAAUCAUGCGUUCCAUCUUUGAACAACCAAUCAUGUCAAGUGGGCUUCAACGUUGCUGCCGCCAUUUUUUGCUGCGGUUUUCGGUUGGUAAGUUAAAACCUCUAUGUUCUUGUCUGAGUUGCAUUGAAUUUGAUUCCAAUUAAAUAGUCUAUGUUUAUUUUAAUUGCUGCCACUCACGUAAAUGUCACCACUUCAUAUAAUCACUAAAUUUGCAAGGCCAACGUUACAUCUGUGGCAUUAACCAUUUAAAAAACAUCUAAAAGUAGCUACCUAACUUUAACUAGCUAACUAUUCCAGACCCGGGUGACCAGAUGCCCCAUUUUCAUCUGAACAAUCCUGGUUUUACUAGUUUGUCCAGGUGUCCGUAUCAUUCUAAAAAUUAUGUAAAUAUGUCCCAAUUACAUAUGUAAUGCAUGCUGACGCACACACUUAUAAACACCAAAACAAUACACCUGUGCACUGUAUUUGGUGACCUGUCAGAUUCUGUGGCCUGCAGUGCUGGAAGAAGUACUCAGAUCCUUAGCUUUAGUAAAAGAAUCAGUACCACAAUGUAAAAAUACUUAAUUACAAGUAAAAACCCUGCAUUUAAAAUCCUACACAAGUAAAAGUAUUACCAACUAAAAUUUACUCAAAGUACGAAAGUAAGUACUAAUUUUGCAGAAAAUCGGACACAGCAGGAUUUUUACUUGUAAUUAAGUAUUUUUGCAUUGUGGUGUUGAUACUUUUACUUAAGGUCUGGCCGAGGUCAUUUUCCUCUACAGGUGCCUGGCCAACAAGUGCAGGCAACAAGCCUGUUCCUAGGCAAAAAAGAUGCCAUGACCUUUGUCAUAAGGUAAAAUGAUGAUCCAAAAAACUCUGACACAAUACACUCAAUUUUGUUUUGUCUUGUUUAGACAAUUUUUGAUAGAAAUGGUAUUCUACACUUUCUUUUACUUGGAGGGCAUGGACAGAGAGCAGAUGCAUACAAAUAUAUAGCACACAAACAGAAAGUGAACCAAAAAUUUAGAUCUAACAGACAAUAGGUACUAAUCAGGUACAGUGUGGUGUUAACAAGAUUGAUUAUGUUUUGUAAGACAAGAGUGAGAUAUUCUUUAUAGUUACAGAUUGAAAAUUGCCCUCUGCAAUUGAGGGGUCAAAGGACCCUGGUGAGAGAGCCACAGAGCUACUUGUGUGGAUUUUAUACUCACAUGGUAACUAUAUUUAAAUCUACAAGCUGCAAAUGUAGAUUCCAGUGUCAAGUUGACUGCUUACAUUUGAAAGCACAUUAGCAACUAUGUUUCUAUGUUUUCAGGAACCUUCCAUUCACUAAGGUGGCUCCACACCAUCAUGCAGUGUAGUUACGUAGCAGUAAAUCAUCCUAGAAAACAAGUUCAACCAAUCUAGAAAAGAGUUUUUAGUGACCAGCAAUUAUUUGUGUGUGUGGUUCAGUUUUUUAUGCCGAGUACGUAAUAUAAUGCCACAUUUUGGUUUCAAUCUACUAUCUUGUUAAACUAAUUGUUUAAGGCCCCUUGUAGUUUUAUGAAUUAUUGCAGAAAGCAUUUAACAAUCCCUAAAAAUAAAAAUAAAAUCCUUAAACAGUAGUUGAACUGAAUAAGUAAAGUCAAAAUUACUUUGCAGGAAGCAGUAGGGUACAGUCAUCUGUAGCAAUAAGACUUUAGACUUGUAUCAGCUGUGGAGUGUGAAUAUUCUGGGAGGACUCGAGUGUUUUAAUUUGGUACAGAAUGCAGUAGUUUACCUCCAACCUGGAUCGUUUGUGUUUGGCCAUAGAGGCAACAGGUCUGUUCUUCAACAGAAGAAAUAGCAUUACUGUUAUCAUAAGGUAAAAUUACACCGGGUAAUUGAAACUUAAACUAACCAAAAUACCCUAAAACAAUAUAUUUGUUUUCAAAUAUGCAUUGUUAUGGUUUCUGCCUUCAGAUAACUGAUACCCCCUGCCGAUGUGGAUAAGGCACCGGCAGAUGGCUGUCAUCUGCCUCUGACCUAGUUUCCUCCUGCUGCUUCAGCAAACACUGCUGGCCAGAGCACCCUUGCAUCCAGUAAUGUGUUAAGUCAGAAAGUCAAAGGGCCUCAACUUCAGUCUCCAUCUUCACUCAUUUCUCUUUUUAGACCAGUAAAUCUAUACAUGAGCAACACAGACACAAAUCAAAUACACUGCAAGCCAGUUUGUUUUGUCAUAACCAAAGCUUAACUAGACACAAGGAGAUUGUGAUGCUGCAGAGCCAGUCUUAAACAUCUGUUUUAUUUUUCCAGCAUAACAUACCAGGAAUGGACAGUGUGGACGAAUUGGCAGAGUUCCUGGUAGAGCUGCGUGCACAGACAGGCCUAACACUGACCAACCAGCAGGCCAGCACCAUUGUGGGUCUGUGGCAGAACCUGGAACAAUUUCAUAAGGACAGAGUUGUGUAUGCUGCUCAGCAUCAGGACAGGUUGUUGACAGGCUGCUUUAGGAGCAAAGAAGGCAGUUUUUACUCCUGGUGUUGAGAGCACAAAGAGGUGUGUUCUGGGUUCAAGUGGUUCAUCUGCUCAGUAGCCUCACUGCUGUCAUCUUAUUGAGACUAUCUUUGUGAGGCUGUGCAACAUUCACACAAGCCCCCAAAAAUGGGAAAGCACAGCAUGUCAAGAUGGUCUCUUAUUCUGCAGGACUACAAAAAAAUAGGCAGCUGAUUUUGUGCAAUGGUAUAAUAAUGCAGCAAACCACCCUUCUGGUUGAGGUAAACCAGACCACCCUCAUCCAUUGGUAUAACCAACGGCUGGAGGGUCAGGAGGUCUCUGUGCUUCUGGAGGGGGGAACCACUGAUACCUGUGAAGACACAGCCUGAGGUUCCUCCACAAUAUCAACAUCAGCUGCACACUUACCACAUGCCACCCAACACAGCUGGGCAGGCAAAAACCAGGUUUCAGCGGAUCGAGCCUUCAGUUACCUCCACAGAGCCAUCAGCCCCCCACCUUCAGUCACUUUCCACCCAGAUCCAACCAUCGACUCCUUCAGUGCAGCUUCCAGGUACCUCAGAAUUGUCAGGAGCAAAAUAAAGGCUGAGGCUUAUUCAUCCUAAGCCAACAGCACCACUGCCACAGCUGUUUUUGUAACUGGUCCCAUGCCGCAGUUGUUGAUGCCACCCAGUCCUAUCCUUGAACCAAGUGCCACCAACACUACCUCUGACAGUCCUGCCAGUAACACAGCUGCACAAGUAAAACGUAGAUACAACUAGACGAUCACAUGUAAUACUUGCAGGAGGACAGUUUCACACACAAGAGACUGGCCAUAGCCAAUGCAAGGGCAGAAUAUAUUGCCCAAAUACAGAGACUCUUAGUAAAGAAGAGUGGCUUACUCACAUUUUAACUUUUGAUAUUAAUUUGAAUAUUUUUUGUGCUGAAACAAGUCAAUCAUCAGAAAAUUGAUUGAAAUUCGAAGUUUGUGAAAAUGAGAAUUUUUUACAUUUUUAUUAUUAUUUUAUCAGUCUCAUUGACGAGAGAGCUCCACUCUAAGUGACCACAUACCAAGGAGUUCAUUUGUUGACUGUUAAUACAAGUGGUCACAGCAAUAAUUUGCUUCCGCACCAUCUGUUGCCACUUCUAAAACUAUUUUCACACAUCGCUGGAGCUUUAUUUUUAUCAAUAUGUUAUAUAUUUUUCUUUAAUAUUUCUGAAUGUAAUUGACUUCAGGUACUUUACAGCCAUGAAAACAACCACCCUGCAUUUAUAAUUAUAGUGUGUAUUAUUGAAUGGAACUUGGAAUCAGGUGGAAAGCAUUCAGAGUUUUGUUUUUGUAAGGAUUGAACGUUUUUAGCCUUUUUGGCAAUGAUUAUUAACUGUAUUGCUGGAGGGGAAAGGAAAUCUUAGAAAAUUUAUGUAACUGUGUAUGCAGCAAGGAGAUUUCUGGGUGUUAUGGGAGUGUCUGAAGAAGGUGUGCAGCAGCUGUUGAGAGAUGCUUUUAGUUUCUCUUAAACACCUGAAAAGUAGAGAACUUAUAGCAGAAUGGGAAAAGGGUGGGAAGGAGUUAUUAUUUUAUUUUAAUUAGUCAGUUGAGAGUUUAGUUUAAAUCCAGUAGAUGGCGGUAAUGCCACAUUUUGGAUGCCAAAAGCCACUAUAAAUCAAGAAGAAGAAGAACUGAACUUGCAUUUUUAACACAUUUUAACACUGCCUUUGUUUUCUCUUUCUUCCUUCCCUCCUGCUGACAGCAUGUGAUUGAUUCAGGUACUACAGCCAUGAAAACAAUCACUCUGUGUUUAUUAUUAUAAGUAAUCAUGUAUUAUUGAAUUGAACUUGGAUUUCAACAAAUAACAACAAAUUAUAAACAAUUGCCACAAGAAAAGCCUUCAACUUUUUGUGGCAUUGGAUGGGAUUUGAACUCGGUCUGCCUUUGGUGUUUUCUCUUUCCUCCUUCCCCCCCUCGCCUCCCCUCUUCUUCCCCUUUUUAUACAGAUAAUUGUUCCACAGCUUUUCUAUUGAAAGAGGAUUGAGCGAUCUGUAGAGGCUUAAAUACAUUAGAGCCCCACCAGUCAGUUGAGCUCUCUGGCAAGAGACAGGACAUUUUAUUUAAUUUUACAGAGACGUAUCAGAAGAUGCUGGGGAGACUUUUCCAACUCACUGACAUAACACUAGAGAGAAAAAAGAACAAAAAAUUUUUUUCCUGAAUUUCUGAACUAAGGAUGUUACAUUGGGAAAGGGAUUUGAGAGGAAACAGAAGCAUACGGUCCUGAAAAACCAACAAUUUUGAGUAACUUCUGGGCCUUGUUGGCGCAGUAGGCAGCGCGUCAGUCUCAUAAUCUGAAGGUCGUGAGUUCGAGCCUCACACGGGGCAGGAGUUUUGUUCUAUCUGUGUUUCUGCCUGGAAUCAUGUACACUGAGAUACAAAGGUGUUCAUGGUGUACCAGCAGGUAUGUUAUGGUAUUGAAUUGUUUGUGCUGACUGCAUUUGGCUAGAUGCUAGACAGCCAAGCCACAUAAAAGGUUUCCACUAAGAUGCACCCAUCCGUCAGUUUCAGUGAGCUCACUAUGUUUUGAGGGGUAUUCUCUUUUUCUGUCAAAAGAAGGUUGAACAAUCCGUAGAGGCUUAAAUACAUUAGAGCCCCACCAGCCAGUUGAGCUGUCUUGCGAGAGACUGAACAUGCAGGUUUUACAGAGACACCAAAACAAGAGUAUGAAACUCAACAUCUACAUUAAACUUGCACUUGCAGUUUCUACCAGGAGAGAUGCAUCAGAAGAUGCUGGGGUUUGUGAGACAUUUCCAACUCACUGACAUAACACCAGAGAGAAAAAGAAACAAACAUAGUUUUUUUUCCUGAAUUUCUGAGCUUAGGACGUUACAUUGGGAAAGAGAUUUGAGGGUAAACAGAAGCAUAUGGUCCUGGAAAACCAUCAAUUUUAUAUGAAUUCUGGGCCUCGUUGGCACAGUAGGCAGCGCGUCAGUCUCAUAAUCUGAAGGUCGUGAGUUCGAGCCUCACAUGGGGCAUGUGUUUUGAUCUAUGCAUGGUUUCAGCUGAAAUCAUGUAUUAUUAGAUACACAGGUCCUUAAUGGGUUUACUCUCACCCCUUUCAUAGUGUCACUUUGAGCUGGAGCAGUUGGCUCUGCGACUAGCUAGUGAACAUUGUGCAGCAUUUAGAAGCUAAAUAUAUUUCCCUUAAGGAGUUGGUAAAGAUCAAGAACAGCGCAAAAAGAUACUGGAUAUUGGACUUAAUUUCAUUGGGCGGCCAGAAACAUGACUGUUGGAUGUGGAAAUAAGCAACUUUUUGCUAAGAAGUUAACCUUAAAAGGUUAUGAUAGGUGUAUGUUGUGUUCGCAACUUGUUUCCGCUGCCCCCAAGUGGCCAAAAAAACAGUUCAUGGAGGUUUAAAUAAUGUGGGAAAUGCUGAUUGUAGAAGGAGGCUAUGGGAAAUGGAUUUGCUGGAAAGCAGAGGCAAACGGCCAUGAAAAAACAUCAAUUUUGAAGGAUUUUUGGGCUUCGUUGGUGCAGUAGACAGUGCGUCAGUCUCAUAAUCUGAAGGUAGUGAGCUUGUGCCUCACAUGGGGCACAUGUUUUGUCCCUUGUAUGGUUCUGCCUGGAAUUAUAUACAGUGAGAGAUAAAUGUGUUUAGGGGUUAACCAGCAGGGAUGUUAUGGUGUUGAAUGGUUUGUGUUAAGUGCUGACUGUCUUUGACCAGAAAUCUCUGACUAGAUGCCUGGUAGCCCAGCCACCUCAGAGAGUUCUACUAAGAGGUUUCUGGUGGUCCUGGUUAAGUUGACAGUAUCCAGUUGUCAAUUUCAGUGAGCUCACUCUGCUUUGGAGGCACUCAUUUUUUCUUGUCGAAAGAGGUUUGAAUGUAUCGAAGAGGCUUAAAUACAUGAGAGUCCCACCAGCCAGUAGAGACAUCUUCAAGAGACUGAACAUAAAAGAUGUUUACAGCGAGCACCAAAAGAAGUGAGUUAAUGAAACUCAGCAUCUACAUUAAACUGCACUCGCAGUUACUACCAGAAGAGAUUCAUCAGAAGAUGCUGGGGUUUGUGAGACAUCAGACAUCAGUCUCCUAAUCCGAAGGUCAUGAGUUUGAGCCUCACACAGGGCAGAUGCUUUCUUAUAUAUUUCAUCUGGAAUCCUGCGUCAGCAACACAAGUCUUUAUGGUGUACCAGCAGAGAUGUUAUGGUGUUGAAUGGUUCAUGUGUUACGUGUUGACUCCCUGUGACUAGAAAACUCUGGCUAGCCAAGCAAUGUAAAGAUGGCUGUAUACUCCCUCAGACAUGCUUGUCAGAAGACGACCAUUAAACCCCGCCCCAACCAGCGGACAUGGGGAAGCUGCACAUGGCCAUUUUCCUAACUUUCUGAUAUGGACAAACCAACAUUACGCCCACUUUACGCAGUGAUUGCCUAGCUGUGCGAAGGUAAGGGAGGAGCCAAGGUUUGAACUUUCUCUUGCUCUCAUUUUUCAUUCUUGACACAAGUAUUUCUGUCACUUUUUAUGUUAACAACCAAGUGCAACACAGUGACUGCCUACCAGGAGAGAUUGUCUGAAAAUAUGUGCCAUUAUCCUCGUAUCUGAACGAUACUGUGUCUCCCCCACACCCCUCGCGUCUCUGUGACGUACGGCUUCUCACUCCGCGUUUUAGCGAAGCUGUUCGGAACAGGUACAGAACACCAGAGGGAAAGAGACAAAGUCUUGGGAAAAAUGUUCCAGAGUUUCGGUGCUAAGGACACUGCGCUGACCAAGCCAUGAGAAAUGGAUUUGAGUGAAAACAGAAGUUUUUGGACUUGUAAAACCAUCUAUUUUGUAUAUGUUCUAGGCCUCGUUGGCACGGUAGGCAGUGCGUCAGUCUCAUAAUCUGAAGGUCAUGAGUUCGAGCCUCACACAGGGCAGGAGUUUUGUUCUGUCUGUGUCUCUGCCUGGAAUCAUGUACACUGAGAUACAAAGGUGUUCAUGGUGUACCAGCAGGGAUGUUAUGGUAUUGAAUGGUUUGUGCUGACUGCGUUUGGCUAGAUGCUAGACAGCCAAGCCAUGUAAAGGGUUUCCACUACGAUGCACCCAUCCGUCAGUUUCAGUGAGCCCACUCUAUUUUGAGGGGGAUUCUCUUUUUCUAUCGAAAGAGGACUGAACAAUUGAUAGAGGCUUAAAUACAUUAGAGCCCCACCAGCCAGUUGAGCUCUCUGGCAAGACACCGAACAUGCAGGUUUUGCAGAGACACCAAAACAAGAGCAUGAAACUCAACAUCUACAUAAAACUGCACUCACAGUUUCUACCAGGAGAGAUGCAUCAGAAGAUGCUGGGGUAUGUGAGACAUGUCCAACUCACUGACAUAACACCAGAGAGAAAAAGAAACAAACCUAAUUUUUUCCUGAAUUUCUGAGCUAAGGACAUUACAUUGUAAAAGGGAUUUGAGGGUAAACAGAAGCAUAGGCCCUGAAAAACCAUCAAUUUUGUAUGCUUUCUGGGCCUUGUUGACGCAGUAGGCAGCACGUCAGUCUCAUAAUCUGAAGGUCGUGAGUUUGAGCCUCACAUGGGGCAUGUAUUUUGAUACAUGUAUGUUUCAGCUGAAAUCCUGUAUUAUCAGAUACACAGGUCCUUCCUUGGUUCACUCUCACUGCUCUCAUAGUGUCGCUUUGAGCCGGAGCAGGCAGCUCUGCAGCAAACAGACAAAUAGUUAGCGACUAGCUGGUGAUUGGAGUGUUUAGAAGAUAAAUAUAUUUCGGGAAAAGAUGAAGAACAAAGCUAAAAGAGUGGCCAGAAACACCAUUCUAAAUGGUUGAUAAUGUUGCAAGACAAUUAUUGCCUUCCAGGAGAGAUUUUCGGAAAGCAUGCGCUGUUAUCCCCGUAUUUGAACAAUAUUGCGUCUUGUGUGUUGGUGGUGGCGUGUGUUUUGGGUUCUGGUAAGACAAUGAAAUAAGAUCCAGGAAGUCCAAUUGGAGUAAUGUAUAAAAGAGAUUAUGUAUACAUUAUCAAAUAGGGUUAUGUUGACAUAUGAUGUUAAUGCAGGGUAUUUUUCCAACAGUUCACAUAUUGCAUAUUAUUUUAAAGUGGAGACAACCAGUUGAUUCCCUCUGGAAUUGAGUUGGUGUGGGCCUCGUUGGCGCAGUAGGCAGCGCGUCAGUCUCAUAAUCUGAAGGUCGUGAGUUCGAGCCUCACACGGGGCAAAUGUUAUGUUACAUAUCUGAAAUAUUGUAUGUACAAUCAGACAUACGAAUUGGAGUGGCAUCCUAGGAUUUUUAGUUUCUGGUGGCUUUCUGCUUCCCUUCUGUUGCACUUUCAUGCUAACAGACAGGCUUCAAACACUUAGAACAUACAAAGUCUACUUGCUUAGUUCUUCCAGAGUUCUCCAUGAGUGUUUUUUGAGACCUUCCUGCUUUUCAGAGUUUAUGGUGUAUAUAUACUCAGGGAAGGAAAAAGGAAAUGGAGGGCAAAUGGUGAAACAAACAAGGGACAGAAGCAUCGGUGCAUGAAGAACAAUCCAUCUUGGUUAUGUCAUGGGCCUCGUUGGCGCAGUAGGCAGCGCGUCAGUCUCAUAAUCUGAAGGUCGUGAGUUCGAGCCUCACACGGGGCAAAUGUUUAGAUAAAGUCAAGUGCUUCUUGGAAUUAUGUAAAGCCAGAUACAUAAUCUGUGAUGUCAGGGUCUUCCCAGCCUGAGAUCAGCAAUACAAACAAUCAGUGGUUGAAAUUUAGUGAGCAUACAAAUUAAGAGACCUUGUUGCACUUUGAGAGAUUUACAAGCACAUGUUGACACUUAAUUUCACUUUGAAAACUUGACAGACAAAAUCUGCAAUUUUUGGCAGAAAAAAGGAAACAACAAGCUUUUCUAGCCAGUUUUUACAGCUACAGAUGGUGAGUCUUUGAUACUCAAGAUAGUUACUUGGUGGAGUAUCACUACAAGUCUCUCUGUGUUUCUCCUCUCUGGCAAUCACAUCAUUAACGUGGGCCUUAAAUGUCAUGUGUCUGUUUCCAUAAUAAGGCUUCUGCUGAUGUUCAUGUGUUGGACGUUGCUAAGAGAGAGUGUAAAUAGUGUCACAGCUGAGAGAUGAUCAGAUGUGUCCGCAGUAAUAAAUUUCACCCUGAGGAAAAUAUCUGUGCUAUUUUUCUUUGUAAAGGGCAAUCGUUUGAAGAAUUCUCUCCUGCGUUACAGCCAUCCACAUCUGCAAAGCCUGUUAACUGGUGCCAGAAAGUCAGGCUCAAGUCUCUCACCAGUGCGGUCAGGGGAGACAGUGUAGCUCUAGGUUAUGUAAAUACACCUACAGAAGACAAGAAGCCUAAGUGACAUCUGUAAAAUAAAGUGACUCUCCACCACUGAUGCCCAGACAGUUUCUGGCUCUGGAGUAAGAUGUACUACAACCUGAAAUCACAGCAGAUCCAGGCUGCAGCAGACAUCACUGUUUGAGACCUACACAGGACGCAGGGAAUUACAAAUGACCUGAGGGAUUGUUGAUUUUACCUUGUGGUUGAUUCUUACAUUUUGAACUACAGUUUAUUUUUUUGAAUAAAUCUACAGUACAGUAACUCAAAAAGAACAUUUUCCCCCCUCUGUUGCAAAAAUAGUCAUGAAAACGAAGGUUUACACAGGGACAGAGUCACUACUGAGUUAUAUAAUAAUGAGGUCACUGGACUUUGUAGUGUUUUUGUUUUCUUCUGUGGGAUCACUCUAAUAUUCCUGUGAAGACCUGCAGUGAUCGCUUUUAUACCACUGUUAACACUUCAAUCCACUGUGAUUGGUCAUCAUAAGGAGUAUUAUUAGUAUUAUUAGUUGAUAGACAGCACGAGGCCACAUUAAUUCAUCAACAUCUUUGGGAGUCUGGAUGUUUUUUUUUUUCCAUCUAUGGAUGUUUUUGCUCAUUGUUACAGUUGUUAUUUGUUAUAAUUGCUGUAAUAUGAUUGUUUUAUAUAUUUACUCUGAAAUUUAUUAUUAUUUUUCAAUACAGUACUUUUUGAAGAUUUGGAAUAAAUCACCUUGAAAAAUGUCGCAUAAAUUCAGAUUUUUCUAUCUCAGUAAAGUUGAAUUAGAGGUUAUAACUAUCCUACUUGAUUAAACACUGUCUAAACUUCUUAUCAGCUGCAGCUGUCCAGGAACAGUCUUGACAUUCAGGUUGACGUUUACAGAAAGCUUGGCUCACAUCUCUCUGUUUACUACUGCGGUUUCAACAUUACGCAACCUUUGGAAUCAGACUUCAGAGUGGAACUUUCCCAGAGCUCGCCCUCCCCUACAGGUGCAUGUGAUGUGUUUAUGAAUAGCAGUGAUGCUCACAUGUCGGAGGAGUUCUGACAGGCAUGUCUCAACUCUUUGAUUUCUCUUUCCUUUUACUGCAGCAGCAGUUCAGUCAUACCUGCUGCCCUGCUGUUUUAUCGUUAGAUCGAGAAUCUGUCGCCUGAAGGCAAGCACAAAAACAAACAGGUGCAUCAAAAUCAAAGUGGCUGUUAGUGUGUCAUUUAUGUAUAAGAGUGGAGUGAAGGGGAGUAUUUGUGUGAUAAUUUAUAUAGAUCCUCUGGUAUAGUUGGACCAAACAGGCAUAACAAGCUUACCCUAUAUGAGGAGGUGGAGCAUGACCUUUAUCUUUGUGUCAGGACUUGUUUUGCACUACCUGUCAAUGAUGAUUGGUUUGUUAUCUCAUCCAUUAAAAGGUUACUUGAAUAUAGAAUAUAGAGGCCGCAGCUGUUCUAAAAUGCAGUGUAGUUUAUUCCCAAUCAGCUUGCCUGAGUUUCCUGAUUUAUGUGAAUGGGGGUGGAUGUGAGAUAAAGGUAUAAACUGUUAAAUAUUAACCAAUAACUAGCAUAUAAACAAGUAAAAAGCUUACACAUGGAGAAGG